AACCGGUACCUAAUGGCUUCUAAUUACGAGGUUAACAAACGUUUAAGGCGACAAUAAUUAGUGUUUAAGGCAUGAAUUAACUUAAUUAGGCUCUCGGUAUGCCUCGGAACGUUGAUCGGACGUUAAAGUGCAUGUAUGAGGAUUUUCGUGAAAUCUACUGAAUAUUAAGCGAUAACGAACUGACACCGUACAAACUACUAACAACGCCGACAAAUACGAAGUUUAUAUGUAUAAUUUAUGCAUACGAAUGUGGUUUUUGCGAAAAUAUCAUACUUUCGAAGGGCUUAAACUAAAUAAAUAAUUAAAGCGUGAAAACAAUAUAAUUGUUACUUCCUUAUCUUUCAUAUACUCAAAUUAUUAUUAUUUAGGUGUGCGGCAUCAGACAACUCGCAUAUGCGGUGUACACUUGCACACAUCAAGAACCCAACUAGUUACGCAAUUAUUUGCAAGACGACAAAAUUUAUUAUCAUGUAUAGCUUUUACAUAGAAAAACCCAAACGUACACUAUACAUCUUAAAUAUGCGUGUGUAUAAAUAAGCUUGUAACCUAUACAUCUACACUUACAUUAAUAUAUAUAUACACACACUUAAAUUGUCUACAUCUAUAUUUUUUUAUAAAAAAAAAAACAAAGAUGUAGAUGAAUUAAUUGUAUAAAUGAAAGUAAAAAUAUAUCAACAAUCACCAACUCUCAUGGCAAGUUAACAUCACGUGGCUUUUGUCCCACCAUCAUUUCUUUUCUUGUUGGGUUGUAUAAACAUUUAUAAGGCAUGGUCAUGGUCAGUUGUUGUUGAAAAAGAAAUAAUAAAUAAAUAAUAAUAACAAUCUAAAACCCAUCCUUUGACCAUCAAAACUCCAAAACUCCCAAAACACACACACUGGCACUUUCAAAACUAAAAGCUCUCAAACCCCUCCUCUUGCUCUCCCCUUCUUCUUCGAUUACAGACCCAAGACCAGACACCCCUCAUCUCUUUGCCCUCUAUCUCCUCCGGUGACCGGAGCCGCGCCUCAGGCGACCUCCGGCACCCCUCUUUCUCCGACUUGUUAUCUCAGACCCGACACACCCACCUGAAACCUCUUAGAGAGAGAAAUCAGAGGCAGGAGAGAGAGAGAGUCGACGAGAGAGAGGGAGGACGGGAGAGAGAUCUGCGAGAGAGAUGGCAACGACGACGGUGGCGUACGGUGGCGGUGGACGUCAGAGAUGAAUGUUUACGGUAACCCCACUCAAUCUCUCUUUUAUUUGAUUUUUUUUAUGUUCAAGUUAAUGUCAGGAGAGGUGAUUUUGUUUCCGGUGAUGUUUCUCCGACCAUGUUUCGAUGAGGGUGAUGAUGAUCGAUGAUGACGGAGACGACGAUUAUGAUGAUGACGAUGACUUCAGGCUGCGGCGGUAGAGGGUGGUGCUCAACGACAGCCGACCGGCGUCAGGGUCACCGGCGACGGCUAACGACGUCCGGGAGUUUCGGGACUUGAUUCGGUCCAGUCAUAUUUCAGUUCCGGAUCGACUCGGUUAACGCACAGUCAACGCCGGUCAACAGUAGUCAACGGUAUUGUUCGGGUUCAGUUUUGGUUCAAACUUGGUGCUCGAUUCAGCUUCGGGUCACGGCUCGAGUUCCGGUCAAAGGUAGUCAACCAAAGUCAACACGGGUCAACUGAGGUCAAAGCUCAGUCAACUCCCUGGAAUACUAUAGUUGCACGCUAGCUAAUGCACAUUCUUGGAACGACACUACGGAAUCACGCUAGGCUAGCUUUGCACAGGAAUGUCAAGGUUGCAUUUUCAAAACUAUGGAACAGUUGGAAUAGGAGAACCCAUGGGAUUUCGAGUACUUAGCGAGCGUUCAUUGUUUAGAUGUCUUAGCUUAUUUGCUUCCGCUGUGCAAUUAAGAUACCAGUCCAGUCACGCCAGCUCUGAUAUUUUUCGGGGUGUGACAGAUUGGUAUCAGAGCUAUAGGUUUCAGCGAAUUAGGUUUCUGUAGGGAUACCUAGGCUCUAACCUCACUUUCCUCUGGGGACUUAGAUUUUUAAGACUUGAACAUAUACAGAACGCCUAGGACUUGAAUAUGGGUUCCAACCGUUGCCAAAACAAUCAGAAAACAUUUUGGUCUACACAUACGUUAGUGUUGUGUUUGAUACGCGGUUCAAGAAACAAUUACACACAGAAAACAAAACUUUGAGAGUUUUGAUAACAUGCACUUAGAACCUUUGGAAAGCUUAUGUCGAAACUCAUUAAACGUCCUCACUUAGAAACCGUGACUAACAACUCGGGCAAACGCCAUCAUAUUAUGUCGUCUAUGCUAUUUUACUUACCCGAGCAGGUAACCUACGCGGAACGAAACGCUAGUGCACAAGUAUACAUGAAACUCAAACUAUACGUCAGCGGACACGACUUUCGAGGCAAGGCCUUGGGGAAAACACAAAGGGGCACGACAACAACGACGCUAAUCCCGACAGUGGGAGAACUACGGAUCGAAAUGCGGCAAUUUGCCAAGUGAUCCUGCAAGCAACACGAAUCAUGCUGAGGUACGUUAAAACAAGAUUUCACAACAGUCGAUACUUAGUCUGAAGAGACUUACAAUGGUUGGCGCUACAAAAGAAGUCACACGUCUUCGCAUCCCCCCUAUUUCAUUUACGGCAAUUAUGAAAUGUUCGACAUUCCAUGGUAAUGGUAUCUAACAACCGAUUAUCACACGAAGUUCCAGGUAAAGUCCUUAAACUUUUACUAUUGAAAUCCUGAAUUUUGCAUAUAGUGAGUAGAUUUUCGCAUUUCUACUCCCCCUAAUGGUCAUUGCGUCACGAAAAUUUUCUUUCAUAAUAGCGAAUACUCAUUUGCUUCAUUCUUGACCAAUUCAUAUGUUACACAUGCGUUUGUUAUGCAUGUGGCUUCACUUGAAAUUGUUGCUUUAUCAAGUUCAAAUAUUAUUUCGCUAUGUUCACUCCUUGCAUGGUGAUCUAGAUAAACUUUAUUAUUGCAUAAUGUUGACUCUUUGAUAUCGAGUCAACGAAACUCGUUGAAACUCUUUUCUUUUCAAGCCACAUACAUGGUUUUCGUUGUAACCAUGUCGAAAUCUUCUGGUUGAUACAUGCACCCAUUGUUGGACUGUGUUUAAACCAAGUUCAAUUGUUUGAACUUGCUCGUAAUAUACAUUCGAUUUAAGAUUCAAUAUGAUGGAUUGAGGCCAUCAUAUUCGAAAUGAUCCCAACAAGCACUUCAUUUGCUUUGAACCAUAACAUGCUUGUUUGGUCUUUGACUUUAUCGAAUCGUUUCUUUAAUCACGAUCACCUUGUGGUGGCGUUUUUUUUUCACAAGUUUGAAGCUUGCGCUAAUCUCUUUGCUUACAUCAUACACGGAUUUAAUUAUUUAUUUGUUUAUUGAUAUUAAAUCUGCUUGUUCGAUUUGUUGUAUUAGAUCAGUCUUAAUACAAUCGUGUGUUAAGAUAAUGGUACACAAAUUCAUGUCAUAUUUCGGUGUACCUCUUAACGGUUCUUUAAUCAUCGAUCGAAUAUUUUGUGAUAUCUAUUGCUCUUUCAUUUCCGAUCGGAAAACAUUAUAUAUUUGUUUCAUUAUCAAUUGAAAAUAUCAUGAUGUUUGUUUGGAACAAACAUUCACAUUUGCUUCGUUGAGCCCUUCAUCUGAUUUCAUACACGGUGAUACUUGUUCGUUCACCACUAUUAUUGAAUUAUUUCGAUCACUACACUACGACACCUUGUGGCGUCGGUGUAAACUUGUAGCUUGUGCUAAUCAUGAUCAGCCGUUUCAUGGGAAACUAUUUAUGUUUUUCGUUUGACACAUCGUUUGAAUAGUCUUAAUGCAACUAUGUAUUAAGACGAUGAUACACUAGGUUCGGUUGUAUUUCAUUUCGGUGUAUCCUUGCAACACGUUGAUUUUAUUCAUUAAUGGUUCAAUAGUUGACAAAUCAUUUUUGGUCGAGAUUCCUCCUUUGUUGGUAGUAUAUCUCUCGUUUCAAAAAUUUAUUUACACAUUGUGCACGUUCACUUUGAAUUCUCUUGGUCGAGUUUCCUCUUUUGUUGAAUCUGGUAAAGCUAGUCACAUUGGUGAUAGUAUCACAACAUCUCGUUCACUUGACAUCGAUUUCUAGAACAAACUCAGUUAAACUGUUGGGUUCCUAUUGAUGCAAAAUGACCUUGAAUUAACAUAAUUCGCGUAAGACUUGAUUCGAUUACGCGGUCAUUCACUGUGGUUUUUUUUCGGACUUACCUGCGAAACGACACAACUUGGAGGAGAUAACGUAGUACAAAUUUCGAGGACGAAAUUUCUGUAACAGGGGGAGAAUGUGACAACCGGUACCUAAUGGCUUCUAAUUACGAGGUUAACAAACGUUUAAGGCGACAAUAAUUAGUGUUUAAGGCAUGAAUUAACUUAAUUAGGCUCUCGGUAUGCCUCGGAACGUUGAUCGGACGUUAAAGUGCAUGUAUGAGGAUUUUCGUGAAAUCUACUGAAUAUUAAGCGAUAACGAACUGACACCGUACAAACUACUAACAACGCCGACAAAUACGAAGUUUAUAUGUAUAAUUUAUGCAUACGAAUGUGGUUUUUGCGAAAAUAUCAUACUUUCGAAGGGCUUAAACUAAAUAAAUAAUUAAAGCGUGAAAACAAUAUAAUUGUUACUUCCUUAUCUUUCAUAUACUCAAAUUAUUAUUAUUUAGGUGUGCGGCAUCAGACAACUCGCAUAUGCGGUGUACACUUGCACACAUCAAGAACCCAACUAGUUACGCAAUUAUUUGCAAGACGACAAAAUUUAUUAUCAUGUAUAGCUUUUACAUAGAAAAACCCAAACGUACACUAUACAUCUUAAAUAUGCGUGUGUAUAAAUAAGCUUGUAACCUAUACAUCUACACUUACAUUAAUAUAUAUAUACACACACUUAAAUUGUCUACAUCUAUAUUUUUUUUUAAAAAAAAAACAAAGAUGUAGAUGAAUUAAUUGUAUAAAUGAAAGUAAAAAUAUAUCAACAAUCACCAACUCUCAUGGCAAGUUAACAUCACGUGGCUUUUGUCCCACCAUCAUUUCUUUUCUUGUUGGGUUGUAUAAACAUUUAUAAGGCAUGGUCAUGGUCAGUUGUUGUUGAAAAAGAAAUAAUAAAUAAAUAAUAAUAACAAUCUAAAACCCAUCCUUUGACCAUCAAAACUCCAAAACUCCCAAAACACACACACUGGCACUUUCAAAACUAAAAGCUCUCAAACCCCUCCUCUUGCUCUCCCCUUCUUCUUCGAUUACAGACCCAAGACCAGACACCCCUCAUCUCUUUGCCCUCUAUCUCCUCCGGUGACCGGAGCCGCGCCUCAGGCGACCUCCGGCACCCCUCUUUCUCCGACUUGUUAUCUCAGACCCGACACACCCACCUGAAACCUCUUAGAGAGAGAAAUCAGAGGCAGGAGAGAGAGAGAGAGAGUCGACGAGAGAGAGGGAGGACGGGAGAGAGAUCUGCGAGAGAGAUGGCAACGACGACGGUGGCGUACGGUGGCGGUGGACGUCAGAGAUGAAUGUUUACGGUAACCCCACUCAAUCUCUCUUUUAUUUGAUUUUUUUUAUGUUCAAGUUAAUGUCAGGAGAGGUGAUUUUGUUUCCGGUGAUGUUUCUCCGACCAUGUUUCGAUGAGGGUGAUGAUGAUCGAUGAUGACGGAGACGACGAUUAUGAUGAUGACGAUGACUUCAGGCUGCGGCGGUAGAGGGUGGUGCUCAACGACAGCCGACCGGCGUCAGGGUCACCGGCGACGGCUAACGACGUCCGGGAGUUUCGGGACUUGAUUCGGUCCAGUCAUAUUUCAGUUCCGGAUCGACUCAGUUAACGCACAGUCAACGCCGGUCAACAGUAGUCAACGGUAUUGUUCGGGUUCAGUUUUGGUUCAAACUUGGUGCUCGAUUCAGCUUCGGGUCACGGCUCGAGUUCCGGUCAAAGGUAGUCAACCAAAGUCAACACGGGUCAACUGAGGUCAAAGCUCAGUCAACUCCCUGGAAUACUAUAGUUGCACGCUAGCUAAUGCACAUUCUUGGAACGACACUACGGAAUCACGCUAGGCUAGCUUUGCACAGGAAUGUCAAGGUUGCAUUUUCAAAACUAUGGAACGGCUGGAAUAGGAGAACCCAUGGGAUUUCGAGUACUUAGCGAGCGUUCAUUGUUUAGAUGUCUUAGCUUAUUUGCUUCCGCUGUGCAAUUAAGAUACCAGUCCAGUCACGCCAGCUCUGAUAUUUUUCGGGGUGUGACAGAUGUUGUAUCGCAUAGAGAGAGUGAAGGGUUUGAUGAUGUCUGCACAAUUUGUAUUUGGGGAUUGGAGUGAUGAUUUACGCAAUAAGUUAAUCACACUUGAAAGGCUUGUGCUUGAUUCAGAAGGUUCAUUGGACAUAAAGCAGUACAUUGAUGCAACACAUGAACAUAAACUCAUAAAAGAUGAGUUAAAGAAUGGAGCUGCCAUGCGAAAGGAAUUCAAGGGAAGUGCUAACAACCGUCAGGAGAUUUCGAGUAUUAUAAAGCAAAAGGUUGAGAGGCAUGAACUUAGGUUGAAGAAGGUGAUGAAUGCACCAUGGUAGGCUCUAUCAUUGAGUCAUUAAGUUGGUUUUCUUUUUAUGAUGAACUGUAAAACCUAUGAAUAAUAAACCACAUUUAGUGAACCACAUCUUGUUAUACAGCUUACUGUUGAUGCA